AUUGAACGCUGGCGGCAGGCUUAACACAUGCAAGUCGAGCGGAGAUGGGGUGCUUGCACCUUACCUUAGCGGCGGACGGGUGAGUAAUGCUUAGGAAUCUGCCAUUUAGUGGGGGACAACAUUCAGAAAGGAAUGCUAAUACCGCAUACGUCCUACGGGAGAAAGCAGGGGAUCUUCGGACCUUGCGCUAAAUGAUGAGCCUAAGUCGGAUUAGCUAGUUGGUGGGGUAAAGGCCUACCAAGGCGACGAUCUGUAGCGGGUCUGAGAGGAUGAUCCGCCACACUGGGACUGAGACACGGCCCAGACUCCUACGGGAGGCAGCAGUGGGGAAUAUUGGACAAUGGGCGGAAGCCUGAUCCAGCCAUGCCGCGUGUGUGAAGAAGGCCUUUUGGUUGUAAAGCACUUUAAGCGAGGAGGAGGCUACUAGUACUAAUACUACUGGAUAGUGGACGUUACUCGCAGAAUAAGCACCGGCUAACUCUGUGCCAGCAGCCGCGGUAAAAC
rnacentral:rRNA from 1 species